rnacentral:rRNA from 1 species
AUUGAACGCUGGCGGCAGGCCUAACACAUGCAAGUCGAACGAGUGGCGGACGGGUGAGUAAUGUCUGGGAAACUGCCUGAUGGAGGGGGAUAACUACUGGAACCGGUAGCUAAUACCGCAUACCAUCGGAUGUGCCCAGAUGGGAUUAGCUAGUAGGUGGGGUAAAGGCUCACCUAGGCGACGAUCCCUAGCUGGUCUGAGAGGAUGACCAGCCACACUGGAACGGAUACACGGUGCAGACGCCUACGGGCGGCAGCAGUGGGGAAUAUUGCGCAAGGGGCGAAAGCCUGAUGCAGCCAUGCCGCGUGUAUGAAGAAGGCCUGCGGGGUGUAAAGUACUUUCAGCGGGGAGGCGUUACCCGCAGAAGAAGCACCGGCUAACUCCGUGCCAGCAGCCGCGGUAAUAC